rnacentral:rRNA from 1 species
AAGGUCAAGGAGUCGGCAUCAGGCACAAACUACAGCCCACAACGCCUAGUCUCACCACCUUUAAACAUACAGCAGUGAUAAAAAUUGUUAAUAAGCGUCAGCUUGAAUCAGUUAAGAAAAAGAGAGCCGGCCAACCCGGUGCCAGCCGCCGCGGCUACACCGAUGGGCUCAAGUUGAUAACAUUCGGCGUCAAGCGUGAUUAAAGAAUCACCAAAUUAAGGUAAAACCUAAGCUCAAUUGUAAAAAAUUGCCUUAUGGAAAUACCUAAACGAAGUUACCCUAAUACUUCUUGAAUACACGAUAGCUUGGAUACAACUAAGAUUAGACACCUUACUAUG